GACGCCUUUUGCAUCUUUGUCAUCUCUGA
rnacentral:piRNA from 1 species